CAACGAGGGAGAAGAAAGUGUAUGGAGAAGAUGGAGGAAGGAGAACUAGAGGGGGAUAAGUGCGCGCAGUAGGAGAUUAUCUGUCUUUAUAUUGUAUGUAGGAGUACUUCCUUGAGCUGGUUGAAUGACCCCUGAAGCGCUGAAAAGGAAGAGUACCCAUUUGAAGUCUCUCUUUCAAGGCUUUCAGAAGCAACUCAAUUU